ACAGAACGGAAUGUGCCAUUGAGGAGAAAGCAUAUACAGCAGCUGCAGUCUCCCAGCAGGUAUUUUCCCAAGCUGAGAUGCCUGGCAUUGCAACAUAUACUUACUUAUUUCUCAGUUUCUUAUCACUAACUGGAGGACCAAGAAGGUGUAUGUGUAUGCAAAGGGAAGAGUGCAGGGCACUACUGUUUCAUGUCUGAAUAGAGAUUAGAUCCUACAUGAUUCCUAAGAUCAAGGAAGCCAGAUUAGUUUUGAGAAUAUUCUUUACUCCUCUCCUCAGCUGCAUGAAGCAGAAUCUGUUGUACAGCUUCAUGACUGACAAAUGCAAAAGGAAGAUGCCAGAGGCAUAUUUGCUGCUGAAAGAUGAAAUUUGUGCUUUCAUAUUUGAACUGUCAGCUGUAAGCAGUUAGUAGGAAUCUUUCAGCUCAAGCAGCAAUGUACCAUGUCUACUCAUUCUUAGUAAGAAAUCACAUCAAGAAAACAUAAACAACCCUAGGAAAAAAAUCAGCUACCAGAAAGCCAGAAGUAGUUACAAUAAAAGAGACAAAGACCUGCCUUUGAGAAAAGAUGCUCUUCAGACUUUGUGAUCAUUCAUCUCAUAGCAAUCACUAAACAUCCAACUGAUGGCGAUGAUUUCUCUGUUAUACUUCUGUUGGUUUAUUCAGGUUCCCUUGGCAGUAAUGCUUACUCUAGGCUAUAUUUAGACAUAAGAUGGAAGGAGACUUAAGUAUUUCAUUAAAUUUUCACCACUGACAUUUGUGAGUGAAGAAGAAGGAAGAAGUUACAGAUGAACCAAGUGUGCUAACUCUCAGGUCUUAAACUGACUUCUGAUGGUAAAAAUGGAGAUUAGAAGUUCCCAGUGCAUAUGAUUUUACCGUGACUGGCAUACAUGACAAGAAGAACACUCUUUUCCUACCACCUUUUUUUGGACUGAGAAAUGAAGAUGCUGAACAUGAUGAAUACUCACACAGACCAGAAAUGCAGUGAUCAGGACUGUCCACAGUACUCAAGAUGUGUGGAGGAGCCUACUUAUCCAUCCCUUGAUGCCUGAAGUCUGAAAGAGAUAAUUGUGUAAAAUACAGCUUUAUUAUGAUGGUACUAGAAUUGAAAGGAACAGUAACAUUUUGCCAUAACAGAAAAGAAAAUUAACUGUUUAAUGGUGAUUGGUUGAAAAUAACAGCAGAUGAUUAUAACAAUGAUUAUAUAGAAAUCACUGUGAGAUGAAAAAGGAACUACCUUGAUGAGUAGCUCAUAAGAUGCUUAGACUGGAUUUCAUUCUGAUAAGCACAGUCUAUGAAUGGAAAAUGAUGUUGAGAAUCUGUGAAAGUUUCCUGAAACAUAAGGUUUUUCUCUCUUAAUUCUAACUGGACGAGAAGAAACUGAAGGAUUUCUAAACGCUGUUGAAGAUAUGCUGGAGGUGAUCCAAUGUAGAAAUCCAGAACUCAACUGCUAUGCAAGAAAUAAGUGAAUAAAGCACUGACAAUUUUUAGAAAAGGUGUCGAAGUUGUAUUUUCUGCCUUAAGAUUUUUGAGAUAAAGCUGUCACUCAAUAGACAGAACAGAAAGCUCAUCUGGAUGGCAGACAGUUCACACUGACCUGUGUUGUAGAACAGACUGAUUUCACUCACAUUUGCUUGUGAACUACAGAAACUGCAAGAGAUAAAGUAUGCCUAUCCAACAGCAUGUUAUCUGCUGAAAAUUUUAUUGAUGUGAAAACAUUUUUUACUAAUGGACUUGUUGGAAAAUUGCACCUAGUGUACUCAGGUUUUAUUCUGUUUUGUUAACACAGGCUGUUUAAGUCAUACUUAGCUUCUUCAGGAGCUGUCUGAACAAUCACCACUGAAGAGAGUAGGAAUAUAUGGAGUUCUUGUUAUCAUCUGUGUUUGUUGAUGAUGGGAGUGACAGGCAGUUGUAUACACUGGAUUAGUCAUGUUGACUUGUCAGGUAGCAAAGGGACAGAGUGUGGCUACAUGCCAUUUUCCCAAGUUUCACUGAGACAUGUUCUUAUUUUUUUCUGUCAUUUUUGAUGAAAUACAAACAAACUAUACAUUAGCUACCUGUGCACCACCAGAGUAUUUGUAAUAUAAAUUCUCUGUAGUACAAAAUCUCCUUCUACCAGAGAUUGCCAGAGCUUUAUUUAUGUGCAUGCAUACAUGUAUCUGUAUGAGGGAGAGGAUGUGCUUAUCAUCAGGUACUGUUCUUUUAAAAAGAACAAACCUGGCAAGUAAUUUAUCAUAUUGCUUGACAGAUCUGCCUCUGCAGACUGUAGAGUGCUCCCAAGCUAAGCUCUUUUCAUGUCCUGUGCUGCUCCUCAGAUUCUCAUCUAUUUCCUGAAAAUGCUGUGGGUUUCUGCUCACUUAACGCU
rnacentral:lncRNA from 7 species